GAUGAACGCUGGCGGCGUGCCUAACACAUGCAAGUCGAGCGAAGCGCUUAAAUUAGAUUUCUUCGGAAUGACGAUUUUUGUGACUGAGCGGCGGACGGGUGAGUAACGCGUGGGUAACCUGCCUCAUACAGGGGGAUAACAGUUAGAAAUGACUGCUAAUACCGCAUAAGACCCCAGCUUCGCAUGAAGCGGUGGUAAAAACUCCGGUGGUAUGAGAUGGACCCGCGUCUGAUUAGCUAGUUGGUAAGGUAACGGCUUACCAAGGCGACGAUCAGUAGCCGACCUGAGAGGGUGACCGGCCACAUUGGGACUGAGACACGGCCCAGACUCCUACGGGAGGCAGCAGUGGGGAAUAUUGCACAAUGGGGGAAACCCUGAUGCAGCGGCGCCGCGUGAAGGAUGAAGUAUUUCGGUAUGUAAACUUCUAUCAGCAGGGAAGAAAGUGACGGUACCUGACUAAGAAGCCCCGGCUAACUACGUG
rnacentral:rRNA from 1 species